AUGGUGAUUGUAGCUCAGCCGGUUAGAGCGUCGGAUUGUGGUUCCGAAGGUCGCGGGUUCGAACCCCGUCUUUCACCCUACCA
rnacentral:tRNA from 1 species